rfam:Schistosoma haematobium scaffold611_20, whole genome shotgun sequence.
ACCUUACUGACGAGUGACAAAUAACACGAAACUUAAGUCUAGGAU